rnacentral:rRNA from 1 species
CGCGCAGGCUGUAGAUCAAGUCAGCUGUGAAAUGUCUGGGCUUAACCCGGGCAUGCGGUUGAAACUGAUGUACUGGAGUGCUGUAGGGGCAAGUGGAAUUCCCAGUGUAGCGGUGAAAUGCGUAGAUAUUGGGAAGAACACCGGUGGCGAAGGCGACUUGCUGGGCAGCAACUGACGCUGAGGCGCGAAAGCCAGGGGAGCAAACG